CGGUCCCCAGCGGGCGUGUGCGGUGCGAGGGGGCGGCGGCGGGGAGGUGGGGAGGGGGGGGAGCGCCUCGCCCCGACCUUUAAUUAGAAACGCGCGGAGCAGCCUCUGCAAUAUUCAUGGCCCUGGCGCGGCUCCCGCCCGGCUCUCCCCGGCCGCGGGGCCGCUGCCCGCCGUCACCCGCCGGGGGCCGCGCGGCGGGGGAGGGCGGGGAAGCCGCGUGUUUACCAGGAACUUCGGCUCGGGGAAGGGGAGGUGGUGGGGCGCUGCCGGGGAAGAGGAAACCUAUUUCUGCUCCCGCUGGCCGGAAAGCCCGCGCAGAGUUUUGCAGUGUUGGAUCCAUGCAAAGCUACUGUGGAAAUUGUCCUGAACCAGCAGCAAAAGGAAAUAUUUAUGCUAACAGCCAAAAGUCAUCUCAGGCAACGUAAGGAUAUCUCACAUACGACUCGUUAACAGCAUCUGAAUGCCUCUUCAUGACCAGUUUCGUAGUAAGAAACGCUGCUUUCUACGAGGAGGCAUGAGGUUUAUUCAACAGUAAUUCAAGAGCACCAUAAGGAGCAGCCUAGAGAUUGAAGACAUCGACUCCUAGCCUUUCUUGUGCAGAAUCACUUCAAGUCCACUGGAGGUUUUCCACUAAUCUGGGCUUGUGAUUAUUGUCUCUUCUUGUAUGGAAGACUGCCAUUCUUUAGAGGAGAGAAAACAUCUUGAGUCAGCCAAAGUGCGGGAAAUCCAGGGCCUGGCACACACAGGCUACGUUUCUAGGAGUAAAUGUAAUGUGCUCAAGACCAUUGCUAAAGACUGUGUUAAUUAAGCCAGCUGGCACAGGAUAGGUUACAUCCAUUCUGUCCAUACUUCUUAUUCCCUGUAAGAGGACAGCCUUACGCGAACUACUAAUUACUUCCUAUGCUUCCUAACUUCCCAACAGUACCACAGAAUCAAUGGGGAGAGUUGUCACAACAACGUGUCAGGGUUUGCUAUAGCAGUUUAACAGUGUAUAUGGCUGUUCCAGUGCCAGGAACCCUCCCUAGCAGCACUCAGUUUUGUCUUCUAGUAUAGGCGCAGCCUGUGAGUUCUGCCUGUAUUUCAGUGAUCACCAGUCAUCCUAUGAGGAUUGUUACCAGUUGGAAGAACCUACAGGGGCUUUUUUUGCACCAUGGCCUAAACUGGAGCAAAACAAACAUCAAAAUCUGAGAAUUCAUAAGCAGCUUUGGAAAUAGUUCUGUGUCUUUACUGUCAGGCAGCUGUACAAAGCCUCCACUGGAGGCAGCAAAGGGUCUAUGUAAAUCAGGAAGAUUCACAGUGAAAUCAUAUUUGCAUCAAAAUAGAAUAAAAAGGGUCUAAAAAUAUCUUUUUUUUUUUUUUUCCUCUUGUGUACAUUUUCUUUUGAGUAGAUCCUAUAUUGCAAUGAAAUAAAACUGCCAAUACUUUUAGUUUUAGCUUGAGGGAAAAGAAGCGUUUAAAAAGCAAUAUUAUAAGACCUUGGCAAGAUGGUCUUUCUACUAAGACAGAAAAUGACUUUGCCUCACAUUACAUUAUUUUUAACAAUCUAUACUGUACUUACUGAAUUCUUUACUAACACGAUUGCUCUCUUCAGCCUCUUUCAUCUCAUUCCCCUCCAAAAACUCAGAACCAUGCUAAAUGGUUCUAAAACUGAAAAUUGUCUCUAUUUAACAUUCAUUACAAAGUGGAGAAAAUCUUCAAUUUAUAUGUGGUGAUUUUUUUUGUUGUUGUUUUGUUUGUUUGUUAUGUUUUUUUGUUUGUUUGUUUGUUUUUGGCUGGUGUUAAAUUUCUGUGUUCCAAAAAUAAUGUUAUAAAGACCUUUUCUAUGAUCUAAUUUUUUUUAAUUUUCACUAUUUUGGAAACACAGCUAGAUGAAGGAAAAACAAAAACAAAAAAAACACACCACAAAAUAGCUGUGUAACUGUGAAAAGACUUUCCAUUGCUGAAUUAGUACCUGUAUGCUGCCAUCAAAAAUACAAAUCUAACUGACGAUUCACUGUUUACGUUAUUCAUUCGGGUUUUACAUGGGGCUCAGCUUAGAUAAUAAAAGCAUCCAUUUUCACAUUUUCUAGUUGGCACUCUUAUCUGGGGAAGUCUUUAUACGUUUUUAUAAUGAAUUAGAGGAAAAAGAUAACUCAAGGGAAAGGCAUUUGUCUUAAAAUGUUAAUUUCCAAUUAAAAUAUUGAAUGCA
ensembl:lncRNA